rnacentral:rRNA from 1 species
UACGUAGGGGGCAAGCGUUGUCCGGAUUUAUUGGGCGUAAAGAGCGUGUAGGCGGUUCGGUAGGUCCGUUGUGAAAACUCGAGGCUCAACCUCGAGACGCCGAUGGAAACCCCCGAACUAGAGUCCGGAAGAGGAGAAUGGAAUUCCGGGUGUAGCGGUGAAAUGCGUAGAGAUCCGGAGGAACACCAGUGGCGCAGGCGGCUCUCGGGGUCGGCCCUGACGCUGAGGCGCGAAAGCGUGGGGAGCGAACAGG